rnacentral:rRNA from 1 species
CCUACGGGUGGCAGCAGUCGAGAAUCAUUCACAAUGGGGGAAACCCUGAUCGUGCGACGCCGCGUGGGGGAAUGAAGGUCUUCGGAUUGUAAACCCCUGUCAUGUGGGAGCAAAUUAAAAAGAUAGUACCACAAGAGGAAGAGACGGCUAACUCUGUGCCAGCAGCCGCGGUAAUACAGAGGUCUCAAGCGUUUAUCGGAAUCACUGGGCGUAAAGGGUGCGUAGGCUGUUUCGUAAGUCGUGUGUGAAAGGCGCGGGCUCAACCCGCGGACAGCACAAGAUACUGCGAGACUAGAGUAAUGGAGGGGGAAGCGGAAUUCUCGGUGUAGCAGUGAAAUGCGUAGAUAUCGAGAGGAACACUAGUGGCGAAGGCGGGUUCCUGGACAUUAACUGACGCUGAGGCACGAAGGCCAGGGGAGCGAAAGGGAUUAGAUACCCCUGUAGUC